AUGCUGUGUCUUGUCCAAAUCAUGCUAAUUUAAAAGUGGGUCAUACGUUAACCAAUCGGAAAUUAUUUUUUCAUUAUUACGUGUAUGUAUAAUGUACAUACAACUCUUAUCAAUCCUUAUGGAAUACUUACCUGAAGUGCGAGUCUAAAGCUCCAUUGGUUCUCUGAAUCUUAUUGUCAGUGUCGAUAUCGCAACAUAUCAAGGAACGAUUCUGACAUUUUUAAUUGAACAUUAUGCGCACUAUCAGAUUUUUUUCAGUUUGUAGGGGGAUUAGGGGCAUAAUGGACACCCUAAGCAAAUGAGUAUGUUAGGCCUGUAUAACAGACAAAAACUUAACAUAUUAUCAGUUUGCUUACAACUUUAACUUGUUUCCUAUGUAUUUCAAUCAUUUACAGUAAGUCGAAUGUCAUUAUUGUGAAGAAAUAAUGAAUUGUAAACCAUGUGUUUUUUGGGGCUGGCGGGAAAGGUACGGGGCGAAAUGGACACCCAUCGGGGCAUAAUGAACACCUCUGCAUAUUUUAUGCUGUAUCUUUGAUAAUAUCGACCAGUUAAGUAAUUUGCCUACGGAGAUCAAUACCAUAGAUAUAAUACUCCAUCUUAGACGAGUUUACAUAACAUCAAAGUUAAUUAAAUAAAUUUUGGGCUAAAAUAAUCGGGUUGAUUUUUUCCAAACUCUCUAAAACGCCUAACAGUAUGCAACGCGCGUACAUCCAUCCAUAGUUGCCAGUGUUCAUUUCGCCCCGAAUCGACUACAACAUUAAAUUUGCUAUUUUAAGUAAACUCUGAUCAAAAACAAAAUACUUCAUCCAUUGCUAAAUCUCCGUAUACAUGUAGAUAAGGUAACAAUUCACUUGUUUUCAUGGUGGACACACUCAAACACUCGUAAUACCUUAUUUGCUGCUGCUUCGAAAUUAUAAGAAACCCACCAUAUAAAAAACAUAUUCCAAUUUCAAUGAUAUUUUGGUUAUUUUGAAGGAAUGUAAAUGGUACUUUUGCAAAAUAGAACAAUGACUUGUUCCUUUACACUUAUGCAUUGAAAGUUUUACAUUAAAGUUAACGGUUUCGGCAAAAACAGGGGUGUCCAUUUCGCCCCGAGUGUCCAUUAUGCCCCUAAUCCCCCUAUGUAGGUUUAUAUGAAUUUGGUUACAUUAGCACCCAAUUAAGUAAUCUACGAGUUAGCCCGACAGCCUCUGAUAGUCACCCUAAAUAAAUAAAAGGAAGAUCGCAAUAAAAUAGAGUGAAUGGAUCACUAAAAUAACUAAAACGGCCGCUAUGAAAUGAACAGAUGGUGCCACCGUAGCCUUGUGUGUUUGACGUAACUCGACUGCUGUCACUGUGUUACCGUCCAUAUACGGUGGCGCUUUUGUUUUGAUGCGGUGAGUAGCGGAAAAGUCGGCUUCAAUGAUCCAUUAUAUGUAUUUUUUAUGGGUUUUCAGCAGUGAAGAGAAUUGUCAGACAAAAGAGGCACAAAACAAGCAACAAAGAAGGCGCGCCGAUUACUCUUUAUCCCUACUGGUAACAGAUAAUGACAUAACACAGUUAAUUAUUGAAGGUCUUCCUUUGCCUGCCAUUGCAUGCAUUUGUAUAUUGUGAGGCAAGUGCAAUGAUACACCAACACCAUGCCCAGGGAGUCGAAAAAAAUUUCCCGACCGGAACGGGAAUCGAACCCGGGUCUCCGGCUGAAUGUCCGUAUUCGUGCGUUAAAUACAUUCUUUGUUGAUAAGCAGCAGUCCCGACUCGAAAGAAGAUGUACUAACCGUGGUUUCAGAAAAAAUCUAACACGUCACAUUCUGAAAAUGUGAACUAUAUGAUAGUGCGGUCGAGCGUACCAUAAAGCGUGGGCAUCGUAGUAAGAUUCACAGUUGGUCGGCUUUAAAUCAGACCGGACCAACUGUUUUUCAAUGAUUAUGGGAAAAUAUCCUGCAAGAAAUUGGGAUAUCAGAGCAUGUGCAUUAUUUCUUGAAAUACUAUGAUUCCUUGGCUUAUCUUUACCUGUCCAAAAAAUCGCCUUGUCCAAUUUGACUUUACGCCGACCAGUUUGCUUAUUUCGUUUAAUGUGUGCAAAAUACCGAAAUUAACAUUAAUCCCCAGGCUCUCCGGUGGAUCCUAACGGCUUCUUCCAAUGCACCUAAUUGCAUGGUAGUCUAUGUGUAUGUUGAAAAGGUUAUUUUAUGCCUUAUCCAAAAUAUGAUGUUGUACGUAUUUAUUAAGUAAUACCUUAGUAAAAUUUACAAUUUUUUGAGAUUUACUUGAUAAACUGAAACAUUAAGUGUCACCCGCGGGCCUCAUUUAUUUUUUCUCAUAUUCGACAUAUUUCGAAAUGUAUCGAAACUAAUUUCAUUUUAAUAACCUUGUACUAUUCCUCUACACUAAGUUUUUACAAUUAAAUUAGUAAACAUCAAAAGCUCAUACACCCAUCAUCAUCAGAGAGAUAUGGAUUUAAUUUAUCUAAGUUUUGGAGGGUGUUUACGACUGGGAAGAAAUGUUGAACUGUUGUGGCUUUCUCAGUCUAACAGGAUUAAAACGGCUAUGCCAAACUCCUGACCGUUUCACUUUUGUUAGACUGAAAAGCCACAACAGUUCAGUAGUAUUGUUUCAAUGAUGGUUUUGAAACAAAACGAAAAACUUAUAAUAGUUUUGCUGUGGAAUGAUUUUACUCGUGGCUAACCAUGAGUUUACUAUUUCAUUAAUCAAUCAGGUGCCACAAAAACUUACGUUUCGGGUUUCAAUGAGUUUGCUUCAAGCACUUAGUAAGUAGCUGAACGGGGGUUAGAGGAGUUUACGUCGUAAUUCAGAGGAAGCGAUAGAGAUCUACCACAACCAUCCAUACAAAAAAAAAUAAAACUGUUCAAACAUGAGGUGUUCGGAUUCUAUACUUAGGAGAUUUGACAAACACCCAUUUUAGAAUAAUUUAAAGUAAGCACGUUAACUGCAAACAAUACUUGCUGCUAGCCAGGAUAACGGCAUAUGGCGGCGUUGCAUGAACUACAAAUUGUACCAAGUAUGUAAAUAAAUCGAUACAGUAUGAACCCAAUUUUGUCAGCCCCACAAAUUGUUUGCUCUCAUUAACUUACGGUCAAACUUCACUAAUUCAAUCAUGUUCAUCACUAAACUACUGCUUGAAAAUCUAUUUAGAUAUUUAAGGAGAACAAAAAAUGUGUCCCCGAAGCAGGCUGACAAAAUCGGUUAACUGGUGUAUAAUGACAAGGAUAAAACACGGCAGGCUGCGGUGGGCUGGGUACGUAGCUCGUAUGCCAGAGAAAUGACAAACUUAUACCAUAUUAGCAGAGAACCAGGAAGGAUCCGUUGGCUUCGUGGUAGGGCGCACACGUGGGCCUUUUAGGUCUUCUUCAACUGCAUUUUGCGGCCCUUAGGGUCUCCAAAACCUCAGGGCGACUGGAAGCGAUUGAUCCAGGACUAAGACCAGUGGAAACGAUUACUUCAAUCGACGUAGACUCACCAUUACGAGUUGAAGGCUUUCAAGUAUCAAUUUGUUAAAUUAUUCGCAUGUUGUUGGCAAAGCAUCAUAAAUGUUUCAGUAUCUACAAUGCAUCCAUAAUAAAUAUUAAACAUAAUUGAUAAUAUUCACUAUGAAAGUUGUUAAUAUUGAAAAUGAUUUUCAGGCAUCUGAAAUUAAAUAUUUAGAUAUCUAAAACAUAAAUUAUGUUUAUGUCAAUAAAUUAUCUUAAUAAAUUAUGUUCAAUCACGUUUUAUGGGGAGAUUUAGUUUUUUUGUACACAGACGUCAGUAUUGCGACCACAUGGUGGUUACGUCAAAACGUUCUUUUCAAUUUACUCACAUGUUUUAGAACAAACACAUUUUUUUAAUAAUUGGAGCAUAUGCUAUACAUGGUGUAGGAUAUGUUAAGCUAAAAAAGUGGAUUUUGACCUAUGUGGCGUUUACGUCACCUAUGCGAAUAUGGGCAGUGAAUUUCGGCAAAACAUUUCCUGAGUCUCUGCAAACAAACAACACGAUUGCUGAGAUCCCGUUGAAAAACAAGUUUGCUGAGUGCUCGCAGACCCCCUCAACUUCCAAUAAUUCCUGGAAACACAAAUGCAGCGCCAUCAGUAAGCUUACGGAAGAAUAUAGAAUUAAAUAGUGGGAUAGAGGUUGAAGUAUGCCUUGCUUUUGGUGGUUGCUAACUCAACAGAUUUGUUUUCAGUUGUCAAGUGUUUGUACUUUGUGAGGAAAUGAAAGGAAUAUGCUAAAAGAUCUAUUCACGAAAACAGUGAGGCCACGGUUUUAAAAUGAGGGCGCAGAGCUGCUGUACUUGCUCCAGGAAGUUGAAAUCUGAUCAACCAAGGAGCAAUGCGGCGGACAAUUUGGAGCAUCCUGAUACACAAUGCGGGAGCAACCUGGGAGCAGCGCCAGAGCAUUUGUGCAUUUAAUAUUGCCAUCCGUGGUUAGUUGUUACGUCGUAGCAUAUGACGGACAAGUCAUCUGCGGCAAUAGAAAAA